UGCCAGCCGCCGCGGUAAUACGGAGGGUGCGAGCGUUGUCCGGAAUUACUGGGCGUAAAGCGCGGGCAGGCGGCCUGUUGUGUCGAGUGUGAAAUCCCACGGCUCAACCGUGGAACUGCGCUCGAAACUGGCAGGCUUGAGUGCGGGAGGGGAUGGUGGAAUUCCCGGUGUAGAGGUGAAAUUCGUAGAUAUCGGGAAGAAUACCGGUGGCGAAGGCGACCAUCUGGCCCGUAACUGACGCUCAUCCGCGAAAGCGUGGGGAGCAAACAGGAUUAGAUA
rnacentral:rRNA from 1 species